GCCUGGGUGGCUCAGUCGGUUAAGCGUCUGACUUCGGUUCAGGUCAUGAUCUCACGGUUUGUGGGUUCAAGCCCUGCAUCGGGCU
rnacentral:tRNA from 1 species